UUUUUUUUUUAGGACUAGACCCCAGCUAUAUUUAACUCCUAAGUUAUUUGGUUCAAACAAAGGGAUUGGUGUGGCUAAACAUUAGGUACCUUUUGAUAUUCUAAAAUCUCCGGGGGGCUGGCAUCUAGAUGCUGGGGUGGGGAGGUCUCGACAUCGCUGGGCUGAUUGACUUUUUAAAACCCUACAGCAUCUGUUUUAGACCCUAAAACAUAAAUUAUGUUUUGACAUGUUGUUAAUGAUUCGUAAGUGGCCGUAAGACAAAGACACACUUUUUUGUUUGGGGGUCGGCCUCUGUUUUGACGUAUAUUGUAAAGAGAGAGAGAGAGAGAGCCUUGAGCGCAGACGCCUGGCCAUUUCUGAACACACACCCCGCCCCGUUUUCUUUGUUUUGAAACACACACAUACGCAUACACUCCAGCACACGCACGCACACACGCGCGCACAUGGCUUUUUCUGCAAGUUUUUUUUCUCCGGGGGCAUGCUUGGUGAUAGAAGUUAAGGACUUAUUCCUAUCGUUAGAAGAUAUAGGUCCUGGUUAGCCCCUGACCAUUAUCCGAUCGCUAAGACGCUUGCACACUCCCUCAAAGCUCCGUAAGUUUUCCCUCCAUGGGUAGAUAAUCCGUCCGUCAUGUAAAUCCUGGGGUAUGCACCCAGCUUUAAUGAAUAAGAUGGGUAGAAAAUGAAUCUGUUUAAGUCAUAAGUAAAGGCCUUUCAUAAAGAGGCUGUCAUGAUUGACUGUGGCCCAUAUUUAACACGUAUUGCAUGUUACCUAAGACUAUUGUUGUACAUUGAAUAUCCACUAGCAGAUUUGUGUAGCAUGCAUCUCCACUAUAUCGGUCAUGUUCCUGUGGUCUUUUUAAAAGUUAAUAAACCUGUGUGUAAAAUGUACACUUUUGUUUCACUGUAGAUUUGUUUAAGCCCACCUAGAAACACCUGAUUUAUCCCACAGCAUUAAGGAAUAAGCUGUGUAUAAAAAUAUUCUGUUUAAGUCCUAAGUAAAGGCCUUUCCUAAAGAGGCUGUCAUGAUUGACUGUGGCCCAUAUUUAACACGUAUUGCUUGUUACAGAAGACCCCUGUUGUACAUUGAAUAUCCAAUAGCCGAUUUUUGGAGCAUCUCCACUAUAUCUGUCAUGUUACUGUGGUCUUUUUAAAAGUCAAUAAACAUGUGUGUAAAAUGUACACUUUUGUUUCACUGUAGAUUGUUUAAGCCCCCCUAGAAACACCUGAUUUAUCCCACAGCAUCAAUGAAUAAGCUGCGUAUAAAAUUAUUCUGUUUAAGUCAUAAGUAAAGGCCUUUCAUAAAGAGGCUGUCAUGAUUGACUGUGGCCCAUAUUUAACACGUAUUGCUUGUUACAGAAGACCCCUGUUGUACAUUGAAUAUCCAAUAGCCGAUUUUUGGAGCAUCUCCACUAUAUCUGUCAUGUUACUGUGGUCUUUUUAAAAGUCAAUAAACAUGUGUGUAAAAUGUACACUUUUGUUUCACUGUAGAUUUGUUUAAGCCCACCUAGAAACACCUGAUUUAUCCCACAGCAUUAAGGAAUAAGCUGUGUAUAAAAAUAUUCUGUUUAAGUCCUAAGUAAAGGCCUUUCCUAAAGAGGCUGUCAUGAUUGACUGUGGCCCAUAUUUAACACGUAUUGCUUGUUACAGAAGACCCCUGUUGUACAUUGAAUAUCCAAUAGCCGAUUUUUGGAGCAUCUCCACUAUAUCUGUCAUGUUACUGUGGUCUUUUUAAAAGUCAAUAAACAUGUGUGUAAAAUGUACACUUUUGUUUCACUGUAGAUUGUUUAAGCCCCCCUAGAAACACCUGAUUUAUCCCACAGCAUCAAUGAAUAAGCUGCGUAUAAAAUUAUUCUGUUUAAGUCAUAAGUAAAGGCCUUUCAUAAAGAGGCUGUCAUGAUUGACUGUGGCCCAUAUUUAACACGUAUUGCUUGUUACAGAAGACCCCUGUUGUACAUUGAAUAUCCAAUAGCCGAUUUUUGGAGCAUCUCCACUAUAUCUGUCAUGUUACUGUGGUCUUUUUAAAAGUCAAUAAACAUGUGUGUAAAAUGUACACUUUUGUUUCACUGUAGAUUGUUUAAGCCCACCUAGAAACACCUGAUUUAUCCCACAGCAUCAAUGAAUAAGCUGCGUAUAAAAUUAUUCUGUUUAAGUCAUAAGUAAAGGCCUUUCAUAAAGAGGCUGUCAUGAUUGACUGUGGCCCAUAUUUAACACGUAUUGCUUGUUACAGAAGACCCCUGUUGUACAUUGAAUAUCCAAUAGCCGAUUUUUGGAGCAUCUCCACUAUAUCUGUCAUGUUACUGUGGUCUUUUUAAAAGUCAAUAAACAUGUGUGUAAAAUGUA